GGAUUUGCGGUAAGGCGGGGGACUGCAAAUCCCUUAUUCCCCAGUUCAAAUCCGGGUGUCGCCU
rnacentral:tRNA from 1 species